GCCUGGGUGGCUCAGUCGGUUGAGCAUCCGACUUCGGCUCAGGUCAUGAUCUCACAGUUCGUGGGUUCGAGCCCCGCAUCGGGCU
rnacentral:tRNA from 1 species